rfam:Macaca mulatta chromosome 1, whole genome shotgun sequence.
GUCGCACAGGGAUCUUGUUAAAAUGUAGAUUCUGGUUCAGCAGCUCCUCCAGUGUGGGAUCUGAGAUUCUGUAUUUCUAACAAGUUCCUUGGUGAUACCAA